rnacentral:tRNA from 1 species
AAGGAAUAUUACGGAGACUACACUGGUUGUUUUAUACUUUGUUCAGUUUUGAGAGGUCUACUCAAAAUUUAGAUCGGGGCCUUAGCUCAGCUGGGAGAGCGCCUGCUUUGCACGCAGGAGGUCAGCGGUUCGAUCCCGCUAGGCUCCAUUAACAACKUAUGUUGUUAAAUUAUUUUGUUCAUUGAAAACUGGAUAUUUGAAGUAAAUUAAGUAAUACAAACCGAGAACACCGCGUUGAAUGAGUUUUUUAAUAAGUUCAAUUGCUUAUUUUCUUGAUYGGACUUCUAUCGCUAGAAGAAAGAUCAAAACCCAACCGCAAGGUUGAU